rnacentral:lncRNA from 1 species
GGAAACUUUAAGAAAAAUCUGGUAUUGAUUGGCCAAACCUAAAAUUCUGGAAAUUUUAUGGCUGGAAGAUAUACGAGUCUAUAUUCAGGAAAAAUUAACGUAAAGUGAUUUGGAGUUUUGUAGCUCCAGUUAUAAAUUAUUUAGUGACUAUUGCUCAGGAAAAACAGCUUGUGCUGAAUUUGAGAUUGUGUUGUAAACCUUGAUAAACUUGUUCUAGUUGCUCAUAAGCUAUCGAUUAAACCCAUACGUGAAUUCUAAAUUGUGAUAUUGGAAAAUGAUAGAUGUAGAUUCAGCCAAGAGAGUGUAUAUGUGUAAUAAGGCCUAAUGGCCGAUGUGAUGAAUGUGAAAGUGUAUGUAUAUGUGAUAAGGCCUAAUGGCCGAUGUGAUGAAUGUGAAAGUGUAUGUAUAUAUGUGAUAAGGCCUAAUGGCCGAUGUGAUGAAUGUGAAAGUAUAUGUAUAUAUGUAAUAAGGCCUAAUAGCCGAUGUGAUGAAUGUGAAAGUGUAUAUGUGUGAUAAGGCCUAAUAGCCGACGUGAUGAAUGUGAAAGUGUAUCUGUGUGAUAAGGCCUAAUAGCCGAUGUGAUGAAUGUGAAAGUGUAUGUAUAUAUGUAAUAAGGCCUAAUAGCCGAUGUGAUGAAUGUGAAAGUGUAUAUGUGUGAUAAGGCCUAAUAGCCGACGUGAUGAAUGUGAAAGUGUAUAUGUGUGAUAAGGCCUAAUAGCCGAUGUGAUGAAUGUGAAAGUGUAUAUGUAAUAAGGCCUAAUGGCCGACGUGAUGAAUGUGAAAGUGUAUAUAUGUGAUAAGGCCUAAUGGCCGAUGCGAUGAAUGUGAAAGUGUAUAUAUGUGAUAAGGCCUAAUGCCCGAUGUGAUGAAUGUGAAAGUGUAUAUAUGUGACAGGGCCGAGUGGCCAACGUAAUGGAUGUGAAAGUGCAUAAAUGUGAUAAGUCCCGAAAGGCAUUUGUGUCAGUACUAUAUCCGGGUUAAAACCCCGCAGGCUUUAUGCGAGAAUAUUAUCACUGAUUAAUGUCCUUAAGCUUCGUGCUUGUACUAUAUCCGAGCUCUAAAGACCCGAUGACUACGUGUGGGGAUUUUGUCCGGGUAAGACCCGAUAACUUCGUGUGGAGAUUAUGUCCGGGUAAGACUUCGUAAUAAGAAUUGCUUAUAAAUAUAUUCAAUGCGAAAGGUUAAACAGGUAUGUACUUCAAGUUUAUAUGUGAGCUUGAUUUGCACUAAAUCAUAAGGUAGCUAUGUGAUGCAUACGAAAGCAAUCUAUGAGACUAUUCCUAUGAUUAUGUGACAUCGGAUCAGUGUGAGAGGUGAUGUGAAAUCAUAUGAUACAUCUAUGUCACAUGAGCUCACUUUUAUGUGAAAGUUUAUCUGCCUAUUGUAUAUGAUGAGAUGUGCAGAUUCGGUAAAGGGAUGGUAUGCCCGAAGGAAGAGUGAAAUAAAAAUACGAACAACUAUGUUAUAAUUUGAUUGGUAUCUGUUGACACUGCUUAAAACUUACUAAGCAUUGUAAUGCUUACUCCGUUUACUCUGUUUCCUCUGUUUUAUAGAUCUCAUGCGAAGCUACAGGCUCGGGGAUCGUCAGCAACUAGUCACACUAUCACUAUCCACUGUUUGGUACUGCUAUGUUUCGGAUUGUCUUAUGGCAUGUAUAAAAUAGACUAGUGGCGGAAGAAUAUUUUGGUUAAUGUAUAUAGCCAUGCGAAAAUGGCUUAUAUAUGUUUGAGCAUAAUGUUAUAAUCAUUUGGUAUGGAAUGGUUAAUCGCUAUCAUGAUUUGUGCUAUUUAUGCUAAAAGGGCUAGUUGAAUCAUGGAAACUAUGAAAUAGGUAAAGUCUACCUUAAAGGCAGAUGCUGGCAGCAGCAGUGAUGUAGAUUUGGAAAAUCACUAAAAAUAGUAGGAUUGGAAUUAAAUAGUGAAUAAAUUAUGUAAACGAACCUUGAUGAAUCUAUUUUCAUAGGAAAGUAAUGAAAUGAUCAUAUGGACAGUAUGUUAAGAGAUAUUCAGGUUCUCGUGAGAAAGGGCCAGAACGGUUUCUGGAUUCCCUGUUCCGACUUUGGAAAUUCAUUAUAAAUUAACCAGAGAUAAUUAGGAGUCAUUCCAUAUAUUUAUGGAUUUCUCUCUGAGUCUAGUUUCUAUAGAAACAAACGGCAUCAGUAUUGAAUCCCUGUGCAGGGAGAUAUCCAAGUCGUAAUGCGCAAAGGUCAGUGUAGUCGAUCCCUGUAACAUGGGAGACUUUGACUAAUAAACUGUACUAAUUGGCCUGACCAAAAAUUCUAGAAAUAAAUAUGUAGAUGGGAAUAUGAGUCUAGUUUCAGGAAAAAAUUAUGAAACUGAUUUUCAAGUUGUGAAACUCAAGAUAUGAUUUUUAAAGCGACUAGUACGCAGAUUGGCAGUGUCUGGAAAUUUUUUUUUUAUAAGUGGUUAAAGUCUGCUAACACCUUGUGUUCGACUCCGGUGACGGUCUCGGGUUCGGGGUGUUACAUUUGAUUGGUAUCAGAACUACGGUUUAGUCGAUUCUAGGACUAACGUAGCACGCGUGAGUCUAUUUAUACAUGCCAUAAAGUGAUAAAAUGAUAGUGUGAUGAUUUUUUUGGCUAUUAAAAUGUGUUUGCUGUAUUGUAAUGAAACUUGAUCCCGAUCGAGCUGUAGCAAGCUUCUGACUAUGAGAAUUUGCGAUAUAACUUCAUUUAGAUAUGCCUAAAUUAUUAAGUUGAUCAGGUACGUAUCAUGUACUCGUAUUUGAAUUUCGAUUUGGAUUGAAUUAUAUGGGUAUAAGUGAUGCAAUUUUGAAGGAGUGUUAUGACUAUAAAUGUGAUUUUUGUAUGUGGCUAUGGAACUGGAAGUUGAAUGGUCGAUAAGCAUGUUGUGUUUGUAUUCAAGUAACGUAAAUGAUAUACUAAUGUGUAUUGCUAUAUGUGUAUAUGUAUGUAGAGACGAAAUUGUCGAAUGUAAAAAGGCAGUGAAGCGUAUAGAGUGGUUGGUUUUCAGCACUAAGUGUGCGGGCAAUAAGUGUUCACGGUUGUGAGAUUGGCACUAAGUGUGCGGGCAAUAAGUUUUCACGGUUGUGAGAUUGGCUCUAAGUGUGCGGGCAAUAAGUGUUCACGGUUGUGAGAUUGGCACUAAGUGUGCGGGCUUGAAAUGCAUGGCACUAAGUGUGCGAGUUUAAAGUACAUGGCACUAAGUGUGCGUGGUUGAUUAUUAAGCACUAUGUGUGCGAACCCACUAUAUAUAUACAUAUUUUCUAUCAAUUAUUUAUAUUAAGGGUGCGACCUUACCGAGUCGAUUUCGGACAGCGGAAAGGGGUAAGUUCUUGAGUAAUAGAGCUUAAAUUAUGAUUUGAUUAGAUCAUGUUUUAAGCAAAUCAAAAUCAUGCUCUUUGUGUGUGGCUAUUGAGCCGAAAUUGCAAGAAUGAUAAGUGUCUUGUGUUUGAGUUUUGCUAACGAAAAUAAAAUACGAAUGUGCCAUGAUUUGUUGUUAAAUGUGCAUGGUUAUUUGAAUGAUGUCCGGGCUAAGUCCCGAAGGCUUUGUGCUAAGUGACCAUAUCCGGACUAAGACCCGAAGGCAUUGGUGCGAGUUACUAAAUCCGGGCUAAGUCCCGAAGAGCAUUCAUGCUAGUGAUGUAUCCGGGCUAAGUCCCGAAGAGCAUUCAUGCUAGUGAUGUAUCCGGGCUAAGUUCCGAAGAGCAUUCGUGCUAGUGAUAUAUCCGUGCUAAACCCCGAAGAGCAUUCGUGCUGGUGUUAUGUCCGGGUUAGGUCCUGAAGAGCAAUCAUGCUGGUGACGUGUAUUCGGGCCUUCGUGCCUAGUAGGCUUCGUGCCGGUAAUUUGAGCAAAGUUUAAGUAUUCAUUACUAUACGAAUUCAAAUUUAAAUGAGAUGAUAUGUUUAAAAGUGUUCAUACAUGAUGUUUAUAGACUUGGUUAAGUCAUUUCAAUGUGUAACAACGAAUGAAUAAGAGCACUAUGUGUGUGAAUGAUUAGAGGCACUGUGUGUGUGCGAAUUCCUUUAACCGAGCACUAUGAGUGCGAGAUCGGUCAGUGGGCACUAAGUGUGUGAAGUGGAAUUCAUGUAAGACCUCGUUUGGGACGAAGGCAUUGAUUUGAGAUAGUGUGUAAGACCAUGUCUGGGACAUGGCAUCGGCUCGAUAUGUGAGAAUAUGUAAGACCAUAUCUAGGAUAUGGCAUUGUAAGAGCUAUAUGUACUAUUGCUGAAUGGACACUAUUUUGUUAAUCUUGUUUAAGAAAUUAUUUUGAUUAAGUUUCGACAUUCGAAAGUUUGAAAGAAUUUUUGAUGAAUGUUGAUAAUUUUUGAUAUACGAGUUAUGUGCUAGAAUAAAUCUCAUGCCAGUGUAUUAUAUUAGGCUUUAUGCCUAUUCGACUGUAUACGGGUAACGUUAACUAUGAUUGAAUGUGCUAAAUGAACUAAAUGUUCAGGUACGUGGAAGUUGACUUUUCUUUUGGAAAUGAGUUAAGUUGAAUAUUGAGAUGUGAUAAAGUUAUAAAGGAUAUUUAUUGGGAUGUUUGAGUAUAUGUGUACUUUCGGUUAGGUUACAGCUUAUUCAUGAAUGAAAAUGUGGGUUACAAAUAUGUGGGUUGAUGAUGUGAAUUAUACAUGUUAAUAUGUGUUUGAAAUGCAUUUCUGAAUUAAGUUAAGUGAUUAUUGCUUAUGAAAUCAAGAAAAUGAGAUAUUUGUGCAUAAUUGUAGAAAUGUUUAUGUAUUUGUUUUAAGAUAAGAAAAUGAUUUUAUAGACCGAUGCAAAAUCAAUAAUGAAUUACAAUUGCUAUCAAUGAGCUAAUGUCUUUGUGGAUAUAAUUCAAUAAGAGGACGUUAUCCUAAACUAUGCAUCGGUAGAAAUUUUCGGGGACGAAAAUUUCUUAAGGGGUGAGAGUUGUGACACCCCUAAAGUGACCCUAGUCGGAAAGUGGUUUCGGGACCACUAAACCGAGUCAUAAAGAUAAUUAACCGUCAUAGUUGAUGCUCAUUAUAUGUACAUAUGCAUGUGUGAAAAUUUCAUGUUUGAAUUUUGUUAAUGGUAAGUGAAUUUUAUCAAAUAGGACUUAUGUGAGAAAAUUUGGAAAUGUGCUAGGCAAAUGUAAAGUGGCCUAAUAAUGCAUGUUGUGAAAUGAUGGGUUUGCAUGUCAAAUUCCCCACUUUAGAGGAAGUGGCCGGCCAUGAGGGUAUGGGAUACAAAGCAUAUGCAUUUUGUAUUAAUAUUAUAAUGACUACAUGGUUUUAUAAUAGGAAAUAAGUAUUAAAAAAACAUAUUAAAGACAUUUUAUGCUAAUAUGUGUGGGAAGAAUAAUAAAAUAUGAGGGGAGUGGGAGGAGAAACCAAAGUUGUCUCCCCCUUACUCCCCAUUGCCGUGACUAGAGAAAGGGGAGGAAAAGCAAAAUUCUUCCUUUGUUGUUCAACAUGGCCGAAUGGAAGGAAGAAGAAGAGGGGAAGUUCGGCCAAGGUGGUUCUUGAGAUUAAGGUAUGUUCAAUGUUGCUUUUGGAGGUUUACACAUCCUUUGGAGGGUUAGCCUACUUCUAUUUAUCUCAUGGAUGAAAUUAGAGUUGUUGAAGAGUUAGGAUUCGGCUAAGAGGCUUCAAAAUUUUAGUUGAUGCCUUGAUACUACUAGCAUGUUAGCUAUAUGGAUGUGUUAAACUACUUGAAAUGCUAGAUAAAUUUGAACUCCCUACCAAAUUCUUUAGGCAACCCAUGUUAGAAAUUUCGGUAUUGAGAUGUCUAGAUCUUUCGGCCAUUGUAGCUAUGGAGGAAUAAAGUUUUUUGUUUCUUGUUAAAUUGGAUGAAUCUUGUUGUAUGAGUGCUUAAACAAACUAUGAUUAAAUGGAUGCAUAAAUUCAAAGUGGGAAGAAAUGGGCUAUUAUAUUUGAUGCUAAUGCCGAAUAUGAAGAUGAUGAACUUGAAUAAAUAAUAUUCAGCUAGCAUGAUAAGUUAUGAAAUAUUAAGUAGAUGAUAUAAUUGAUUGAUGAAGUGGCUAAUAAGGAUUUCUAAUGAAAUUGUUGCCAAGGCCGAAUGUAUCAUGAAGUAAAUUUGUUUGAUUUAGCUCAAGAGCCUAGAGGAUCAAAGUUGGAUAAGGGAAAGGAAAAAAGUGAUCGAAGAGCCGUCGUAAUCGUUCGGCAACUUCCGAGGUAAGUUUUAAGUGUUUAAACGUUGAGUAAAUUCAAUUAUAAUAGGACAUGAUGAGCUGAUUUAAUAAGAUAUGAUGUGGCCAUGAUAUGUUCUAAGCUCAAAUGGUAAGUUCUUAAGUGUUCGAGCUUGGGAAUUUAAAGGUAAUUUGAAAUAGUCUGCUUUGGACAGCAGCAGUAACGUGACUUUAGAAAAUCACCAUAAAUUUAUGGACUUGAAUUAGAGGCUGAAUGAGACAUGAAAUUAAAUCUUAAUGAGUCUAGUUUCUUAUAAAAGAAACCGUGUAAGCAAAGGAAUUUCCAAUAAUGAGAUAUUUAAAGUUGUGUGAGACGGUGUUAGAAUGACUCCGAAAUCCCCUGUUCUGUUUUUAGAAAAUCAUUAUAAAUUGUACAAAAAUGGUUAUAAGAUAAAAUUUAUAUGCUUAGACUCCUUAAUGAGUCUAGUUUCAAAUAAAAUCAAAUACAACACAUUUUUAAUUCUGUAAAAUGAGAAAUUUGAUUCGUAGUGAAGAGUGGUCAGAGUAGUCAAACAGUAGAACAGGGGAAACUUUAAGAAAAAUCUGGUAUUGAUUGGCCAAACCUAAAAUUCUGGAAAUUUUAUGGAUGGAAGAUAUAUGAGUCUAUAUUCAGGAAAAAUUAACGGAAAGUGAUUUGGAGUUUUGUAGCUCCAGUUAUAAAUGAUUUAGUGACUAUUGCUCAGGAAAAACAGCUUGUGCUAAAUUUGAGAUUGUGUUGUAAACCUUGAUAAACUUGUUCUAGUUGCUCAUAAGCUAUCGAUUAAAC